CAUAGAACAAAAACUACAACCUUGAAGGCAACUGACAAUAGAUAAAAUUGAUAGUUUAAAUAUCAAGAAUGUAUAUUCUUGCAAGUACUACCUUGACAUUGUUUAAAAAUACUAAGAAUGAGCACUUUGCUAUUAAAAUGAACAUUAUUAUAGAAUCACCGACAUAAAAACAUUGCAUCAGUAGGAACGAACUGCGACUUUGACACACCAAAACAGUGAUCUGUGAGUUUUAGUGUCUUCUAUCAUGAGACCUUAUAUAUCCACAAAAAGGCAUAUAUACCAUUUAUUGAGGGAAAAAUAGUUGAAAGAGAUUAUAUAUUUACCCAUAAAAGCAUCCAUCAUCACUCCUAAUCCCAGGUAUACAAAGUAUAAACUGCACUGUAAUAUAAAAAUAAAAAAGAUGAGAAAAAGAGAGAUGUUUAAGCUAGCUAGCACUAUAUAAGAAGAAAAAUUAAAGAUUAUAGCUAGAAAUGAAGGUAGUUAAGCAUUUUUUCAAUCCCAGCCAUGAAGUUGCCAUGAUUUUGUGGUCUUAUCAUAACCCAAGGUAUAACAUAUACUAAUAAACAGUUUGUUGACAUGCCAUCUCCAAUGGCUCCAAUGGUACCCAAAAACAUUAGCCAAACAUCAACCCAAUCUGCAUAUCUAAAAAUUAUAACAAUAGAAUUUCUCUUUUCUAAAGAACAGAGAUAGUGCUAAGAAAUUGGCUAAGUGAAGAAAGGAAAAAAGUUUUGUUUGCUUUGAAGAAGUGAUGACCAAUAACUAAAUUUGUUUGUGCAUUUAUAUUAAAAAAAAAUCAAGAAUAGGGAGCUUGCUAGGUGGUUUUCCAUGAAGCAGCAGGGGCUGAACAAAUUCGUUUAUAUGCAAAUUAUAGAUCCAAGUUAAUUUUUUUUAAAAGAAGUGAGAAAUAAACAAAAACACUCACAGAUUUUGAAGGCUCUAAUUAAGAGCUUUAAGGUUAAGAGUUUCAAAAGUAAUGAUAAAUAUGUCAAAAACAUUGAAUAUUAAAAAAAUCACACGUAAAUCAUUCAUUAAGAGAGCCAAAAAGGGGACGAACCCAAUUACAUGUGCACUAUAUAGAGCAUAAAAGAACAAAAGGCAAUCAUAUGCCAGAAAGCUAAAGGCCUCACUCUAUACACAGAGCAUGACAAAAGAUAACUAUUAUUGACAGAAAAAUAAAAUAAAGAAAUAAGAAUGUGCGCCCAAAAUUAAAUUAAUCAUAACUGAUCAAGCGUCAAGUUAUUUGUUAUAACAUGUGCACAUGCACCGCCAAGAAAUGAUUGCCAAAAGUUGUUUCUAUGAAAAAUGUUUUAUAUGUUAAGAGUAUAUACUUGAAUGUGAGAUCCAUUAAAACGUACAAUUACACCUACCAACACAAUACAAACCUCCUCGAAUGAAGUAUCUUCUUUUAGAUCUCUCUAAGUUCCACGAACUCUUAACUUAAGAAUUUGUCCAGGAUAAACGAUCUGCAAGAACACAAACUGACUACUAAGUUCCAUUCAAAUUGUAACUUAUCAUAACAAAGAAAUUUUGUAAUAAUAAAUACUCCAAAAAAAUAGAAAAAAGAUUUAAGGCAAACCAACCAUAUUAGAUGCUUAAGUAAAUAGGGUUAACAGUUCUCCAAAUCAAUUUUCGCACUUAUAUUGUAUUUCAACUCUAUCAAUCCACCCUUACUAUUCUUUAUUGCAAAUCAUGUACCAGUUAUGUAAUCUUCUGGAUUUAUCAAGUCUACUAACUAAUUAGUUUUUUUAGUUAAAUAUUCUCAGAGAGUUGCAAAGAUAGGAUUGACAAUAAUCUUACCAUAUCUGCACUGCAGAAGAGAGGAUAACAGAAAAAUCAUACCCCUGUUACAUGAUCGAUCCCCUGACAACAACGCAUGAGUUGUACCACCAGCUCCAAUAGACAUUACUUGCACCAAACAUUGGUUACCAUAUUACUUUUCCAUUUCAAUAUUCCUUUUUCAUCUUUAUUUUUAGUUUUUGUCAACUAAAUGUUUUGAAAAAAGAGCAAACAAUUGGUUUCUUUUCAAAAGUUAAUUUUUCAAGCAAAAUGCAGAUAUACAAAAUGAUUUAACUCUUUUUACAUCUCUAGCAUAUAUUUUGAACAUUUCUAGUGGUCAUUUUAGAUUUCUUAUUCAAAUUUGAAAUUUAUAAUGUCAUGUAGAAAGUUUUUUGAGUAAGAAAUUGAAAACUUUGUCAAAACAGGCUUCAAAUGAUCGUCCAUCAACUAAUUCCGUUGUUUUCAUCUCUAACAAAACAAAUCAACACUAUAGAAUAAUCACUCCAAUCAUCAUAAACGUAUUUAACCAUAAUCAAAAUCAAUGCUAUCAAUUUCCCACAAAUUUGAAAUUUGACUUUCUUAGUUCUAAACAAUAAAACUAAUUACUUGUAUGUAAUGCUCAAUUGUGUGAAAACAUCAACACCUAUUACACCAAGCAGCUUGAAUAUAAAGAUAAAAAACACAAUCUUGAAAAAAAAAAAUAUGAAGAUUAACAUCAUUAGACCAUUUAUAGACACAUUUAAAGCUAAAUUGCAAAAAACUAAAGCAAACCCAGAUGACAAAAUAAAGUAAAUUAGCAACAGUACCUCCCCUGUGUGGUGGAUAUGUAGUCAAAGAUUCUCCAGUUCUCUUGAAUGUGAGACUUGAGAUUGGGUUUAAAAGCACAGAUCACGGCUGGGAAUUUCAUUGCAGAGAUUUUAGUGCAGCCACUUUUGGAUAUAUUAGGAUUUAGGGAAUAUAUUUUGAGAAGUGAUUCUGUGAUUUAUCUUUGUUUGUUUCAUAAAAAACAAUAUCUCCUCUGAGCUGUCGUAAGAUCAAAUUUAAAUAUGUGAUCUUAAUGCAGUAUUGUUGCUUUGUCAGUUGUCUGCUCAUUCAAUAAACAUCUCUCUCUUUCUCUCACAUGUGAACACAUACUCCAGUUAUGUAGAUGUGUCAUUCUACAUUCAGCAGUUUCUAUUUGGAAAUAUACCCUCCCAAUUAAUAUAGAACGAAUAUUACUACAUGGAAGGGUUUUCAUAACACAUGAUAUGAGGGCACUUAAACCUUUUCCUGAUUAGCAAAAUCUAAAAUAUAUAUUUUAGCUAAUAGGAGUAAAGAUUAAUCCUGAAUCCUCAUAACAAAGUAGAUACAACGAAAUUUGCGGAUUCGAGAGACCAUAGGAAAUUGAUCUCACUUCUUAUAUGGUUUGAUUGGUUUUAACUUUUCAAUGAUAGUAAAAGUAUAACCUUGUAGGACUAAUUUGUGUGCUCAAAUCUACGUUAAACUCUCAGAUUGGAAAACUUCCCUGGACAUCUCAAUAUUCGAGAAAAUUAAUUUCAAUUUUCAACAAUUUUUCCCAUCAUAUUUAAUUGUUGAAACCUAUAUUACACAUAUGAUAGAACUCCUUAUAUCAAUCUAAAUGGCAUCAAUAUUCUUAAUUAAUUACAAUUAUUAGUGAGUUGAUCUGCAAUUCUUGCAGAUGACAUAAUUGAGGAUAAAACCGUUGUUGACGGUGAAACUAUAAAAGCAAGCAGGUAUAGUAAAAUUGAAGCAGUUGUUCUUGAGAGCAGUUUCGUAUAUUGGUGUCUAAACUAUUUUGUGUGCUUCGCCUAGGUGGCUCGGUACUGAAUCGUAUGCUGACCCCGUAAAAUAUCUAGAUAUGAAAGGCAGAAGAUUACAUAACAGAACUAUUUAUCUCAAGGACAGAGUUAAGAGCUGCAAAAAGAGGAAGGCAUGGCUUUGCUUAAUUAUUUUUCCUUAUUUCGACUCACAUUUUUUGUCUUACACUUUUACUUUACCCUCAGAAGCUUGAAGAGAGAUUCAAUGAGAAAGAGGAACAGAAAGUCCAAUACCUAUUACAUAUACACACAACACAUUCCAAUAUUCUAUUUACUUAUAGUCAAUGAGAUUUUUGAUAGUAUAAAAUGACACAAUGUUCUCGGGGUGACAAUCAUAAGUUCAUCAUCAUGCCAUCACUAAUUUACUUAAUAAAUUCAAUGAAUUCUUUCUGUAAAACAUAGGUAAUAGUAAUACAUAUAGAUUCAUGUUACUGAAAAAAAUAGAGCCUUAAACUGAGGUCACCUGAUGGAAGUUGAGCCUUAAACUGAGGUCACCUGAUGGAAGUUGUGAAAGGUUGUCUGGGAACUAAAACCUCGGACGUGUCCACAGCUGCAAAAACAAUGAAUAUUUCGAGGACUAAUUACUUUUGCAUAAAUUUAUAAAUAAAAUUUUAAAAAUAAAUCAGUGAAAUUAGAAAUAUUUUGAAGAGGUAAAAAGGGCAAAAGAAAAAUCACAUAAAGAAACAAUAAAUCAGUAGUACCUUGAGAUACAUCUACUGUCGCCUUAUCAGAGGUGAUAUCCAUUGAUGUCAAAUUAUUUUUCUUCUUCUUAUUCCUGUUCUUAGCCAUAGCUCUCGCGCGAACAGAGAAUCAAAAGAAUCCAAAACCUGCAACUCUAGAAUUGAAUUAGGUUAGGAGAGAAAACUUUAGGAAUUUAACCCUUCUCUCGUCGCACUCACAGAAUUUAAAACAAAUAGAAUCCCUAAUAUCUUCUUCCACCAAACAAAGCACCGAAAUGAAGUACCAAAAAUUGACAAUCAAAAAUGGACAAAAAAAUCAAAACCCACCAACAUACCUAGAAAUCAAAAGCAGUCCAAAAAAUUUAUAAUUUAUUCAUUGAACAAUGAAAUCAAAAAGAAAAAAGUAUGCGUAAAGAUAGAUCGGAAUGAAGAUGGACAGAGUUUUGAAGACCCCCACCUUGUAUUAUUGAGAGAAAGCUUAAUGAGAGAUAAAAAUUAAUUGGGUGAAGAUGAAGAUUCACGUAACGUAUCAUGAUAGAGAAAGGUUUAGAAAGAUAAUGGAACUGAGAAUAGAGGCUUCCCCCUUACAUCUGCUUCUGACUUCAACCUCUUUGUUGAACCUUUUCGCUUUCUUGAAUUGCCCUAUGUUGGUGGCGCAACGAACGAUUGAUCUGAUGAAAUUGAGCGAGUUAACUCCUACUUGAUUUCAAAUUGAGUGAGUUGAGUCACCCAAUUAUGUAAUUUAAAGGAUAGGUUGUUAGAGCAACUUCAGCAAAUUGGAGUUGUCAAAUUCGUAGACUAUAUUUAGUCUAGUAUGUCAAAAUCACUCCAACAAAUGGACUAUAUUUAGAAGACUAACUUUUUCGACGGCUCAAAACAACCAAAUCUGCGAACAAAAAAUCAGCCAAACUAUAAUUUAAUAUAAUUAAAUGGGAAACUCUCUGUUGAAGAAAUUGAAGAAAAAAAAGAAGAGAAACUCUGUUGAAAAAGAAGAUCUGUCGAAGAAAAAGAAGGAGGUGAAGUGAGAGAACUGAAAGUGAAGCGAAGGAGAGAUGAACGGUAAUAAAGUACAAUCCAACGGAUAGAAAAAAA
rnacentral:lncRNA from 1 species